rnacentral:rRNA from 1 species
GAUGAACGCUGGCGGCGUGCCUAAUACAUGCAAGUCGAGCGAACAGACGAGGAGCUUGCUCCUCUGACGUUAGCGGCGGACGGGUGAGUAACACGUGGAUAACCUACCUAUAAGACUGGGAUAACUUCGGGAAACCGGAGCUACUACCGGAUAAUAUAUUGAACCGCAUGGUUCAAUAGUGAAAGACGGUUUUGCUGUCACUUAUAGCUGGAUCCGCGCCGCAUUAGCUAGUUGGUAAGGUAACGGCUUACCAAGGCAACGAUGCGUAGCCGACCUGAGAGGGUGAUCGGCCACACUGGAACUGAGACACGGUCCAGACUCCUACGGGAGGCAGCAGUAGGGAAUCUUCCGCAAUGGGCGAAAGCCUGACGGAGCAACGCCGCGUGAGUGAUGAAGGUCUUCGGAUCGUAAAACUCUGUUAUUAGGGAAGAACAAAUGUGUAAGUAACUAUGCACGUCUUGACGGUACCUAAUCAGAAAGCCACGGCUAACUACGUG